UUGAAACAUUUGAAGAUUUUAACUUGCAGACUUAAUGAAUUUGAAGACUUCAUCUUGCAGACUUGAAGAAUUUGAUGAUCUCAACU
rnacentral:pre_miRNA from 1 species